rnacentral:rRNA from 1 species
AUUGAACGCUGGCGGAAUGCUAUACACAUGCAAGUCGAACGGCAGCACGGACUUCGGUCUGGUGGCGAGUGGCGAACGGGUGAGUAAUACAUCGGAACGUGCCCAGUCGUGGGGGAUAACGUAGCGAAAGCUACGCUAAUACCGCAUACGAUCUAAGGAUGAAAGCGGGGGAUCGCAAGCCCUCGCGCGAUUGGAGAGGCCGAUGGCAGAUUAGGUAGUUGGUAGGGUAAAGGCCUACCAAGCCGACGAUCUGUAGCUGGUCUGAGAGGAUGAUCAGCCACACUGGGACUGAGACACGGCCCAGACUCCUACGGGAGGCAGCAGUGGGGAAUUUUGGACAAUGGGCGCAAGCCUGAUCCAGCCAUUCCGCGUGCAGGAUGAAGGCCUUCGGGUUGUAAACUGCUUUUGUACAGAACGAAAAGGCUCUGGUUAAUACCCGGGGCUCAUGACGGUACUGUAAGAAUAAGCACCGGCUAACUACGUGCCAGCCGCCGCCGUAA